rnacentral:lncRNA from 1 species
AAAAGAGAUACUGGGGCAAAACCAGAAACAAAACUAAACAUCAGUAACGAAAUUUUUCCACACUAAAGACACAAAUGAGGUGGGAAAAGCAAGGCAGAGAGAAAGUGAACAACAAUGAAACUAGGAACGUAACCCAAGCGCUCGUGCCAGAGCGUGUAUCCUCGAUCUCGGGACCACACCACUUCCCUUGAGGAUGGAGUGUUCUCUGAAGUUUC